UACAGAGGUCCCAAGCGUUGUUCGGAUUCACUGGGCGUAAAGGGUGCGUAGGUGGUGAGGUAAGUCGGAUGUGAAAGCUCCGAGCUCAACUCGGAAAUGGCAUUGGAAACUACCUUGCUAGAGGGUUUGAGGGGGGACUGGAAUACUUGGUGUAGCAGUGAAAUGCGUAGAUAUCAAGUAGAACACCAGUGGCGAAGGCGAGUCCCUGGAAAACUCCUGACACUGAGGCACGAAAGCUAGGGGAGCAAACGGG
rnacentral:rRNA from 1 species